UUAAACAAGGUCGAGCAACUGUUUAUUAACUAUCUACUAAGCUAUGAAAAUCAGACAAGCUGCAAUUGUAUGCUCCUCUCUUCCCCUUGUGGGCACUCUUUUUCGCCUCUGCUUCUCGUCUCUGCAAGAGGCGCUUUCGAUUUCUGGAGACAAGGAGAAGAAUGAAGCCGAGGAUCAAAAUGUCGAUGUUGCUUCUGAUCCAAGUAACGCAACAGCCCAGAUGCAUUUCCGGCAACUUCAGCACUUAAGAACUGCUUGAUCAUAAUGUUGUUGAGUGCCCAUAUUAAUCAAGGCAGGAGGCGCAUUAUCGUAAAUCUGCUCACACUCCAUUUCAAGCGGGAAAAUUGUAUACCCGAGCGCUCAGAAGGCAUAGCCUGAAAGUUGUAACAGACAAACGCCCACUCUAUAACAAACUUCUUCAGGUCAUUAUUGAUUUUUCAAGAACGCAGAGUCUUGGAAUAGAGAGAAAGAGAGAGUUAGAGAAAGAGAGAGAGGGAGAGCUAAAGCUGGAAGCUUGAAACUUGAAGUGAUCACCAAGUCAAUCCCAAUCCUUGAAGCUUGCAAGAAGAAGAAGCAAAGGCCAAAGAUUUUCGGGAUGCAUUCAUUCUGCGAUCCUGGUUACUCGAACAAACAAUAACAAGUUAUGUCUGCACCGAUAUUAUAUAGGUCAUGAAUUUGGAACAGGAUAUAUCUCCAUCAGCUUUUGUUACUCGAACAAACAAAAGCAAAAAGUUGAGGUUCAUGGAUAGGAAAUAUCUCCAACAAAGUCUCCGUUGUAGCCAAAUGAGGAAAUCAGAUUACUGAAUAAUUGAUUUUUCUAGUAAGUUAUUUUGUCAUGUUUUAUCUCUAGAUGAAAAAGAAGCAA
rnacentral:sRNA from 1 species